CUAGACAAUAUUUGACUGUCAGUUUCAGUCAAGCUAACUGGACUUAUAAUUUUAAUUAACAGAGUACACUGAAUCAUGGAAUCAUGCCAGUGAAUCUAUCUUCUGUAAACAAGGCUAGUGAGUCUGGCAGACUUCUGUAAAAGAAAUCAGACAAACCUUGAUGUGUACCCUUGAAUCAGUUCAGGUUUUAGUAUUCAGGGAUGUAUUUGUGAACUGGAUAAUUGAGAGAGACACUGGAAGUCUAAACAAGAUUGAAAAUACAAUACAGUAUUCUGCUCCUGCCUGUGGGUGCAGUUCAUCCGAUGGUUCUAGAAACCUUCUCAAGGCAUCCCUCGUCCUAAAAAUUCAGAUGACUCCAUGAGCACCUCCUUGCUGAAUCUGAAUGCAGUCUGCCCUGUGAUCACUUUGAAGGUGCUGCAAAUUGUGGUAAGUCUUUAACAAGCACUUCCAAGAGAAAGUUCGAAGUCGUUAGAGCCUGAAGCAUCUCAAUUAGAUUCUUUAGAUGCAAAAAAAAACUGUUCAACCAUGGGCACUUCCUAAAGCUACUUCUG
rnacentral:lncRNA from 1 species